UGGAUUAUGUGGAUUAAUUCGAUGCAACGCGAAAAACCUUACCUGGCCUUGACAUGUACCGAAUUUAGCAGAGAUGCUUUAGUGCUCGCAAGAGAACGGUAACACAGGUGCUGCAUGGCUGUCGUCAGCUCGUGUCGUGAGAUGUUGGGUUAAGUCCCGCAACGAGCGCAACCCUUGCCAUUAAUUGCCAUCAUUUAGUUGGGCACUUUAAUGGGACUGCCGGUGACAAACCGGAGGAAGGUGGGGAUGACGUCAAGUCCUCAUGGCCCUUAUGGCCAGGGCUUCACACGUAAUACAAUGGUCGGUACAGAGGGUUGCCAACCCGCGAGGGGGAGCCAAUCCCAGAAAGCCGAUCGUAGUCCGGAUUGUAGUCUGCAACUCGACUGCAUGAAGUCGGAAUCGCUAGUAAUCGCGGAUCAGCAUGUCGCGGUGAAUACGUUCCCGGGCCUUGUACACACCGCCCGUCACACCAUGGGAGUGGGUUUCACCAGAA
rnacentral:rRNA from 1 species